rnacentral:rRNA from 1 species
AUGGGGUGCAGCAGGCGCGAAACCUCCACAAUUCACGCAAGUGAGAUGGGGUUACCUCGAGUGCCGCCUGAAGAAGGCGGCUUUUCCAUGGUGUAAUGAGCCGUGGGAAUAAAGGGGGGGCAAGACUGGUGUCAGCCGCCGCGGUAAUACCAGCUCCCUGAGUGGUAGGGAUGAUUAUUUGGCCUAAAGCGUUCGUAGCCGGCUUGGCAAGUCUUCCGUUAAAUCCAGCGACUUAAUCGUUGGUCUGCGGAAGAUACUACUAGGCUAGAGGACGGGAGAGGUUGACGGUAUUCCCAGUGUAGGGGUGAAAUCCAAUAAUCCUGGGAGGACCACCAGUGGCGAAGGCGGUCAACGAGAACGUGCCUGACGGUGAUGGACGAAAGCUGGGGGAGCGAACCGGAUUAGACACCCGGGUAGUCCCAGCCGUAAACGAUGCGGGCUAGGUGUUAGGGCAGCUACGAGCUGCUCUAGUGCCGCAGAGAAGUCGUUAAGCCCGCCGCCUGGGGAGUACGAUCGCAAGAUUGAAACUUAAAGGAAUUGGCGGGGGAGCAC